UACAGAGACUGCAAGCGUUAUUCGGAUUCACUGGGCGUAAAGGGUGCGCAGGCGGCCAAGUGUGUUAGGCGUGAAAGCCUGGGGCUUAACCCCAGAAUUGCACCUAAAACUACAUGGCUAGAGCAUUGGAGAGGGUAGCGGAAUUCACGGUGUAGCAGUGAAAUGCGUAGAUAUCGUGAGGAACACCGGUGGCGAAGGCGGCUACCUGGACCGGUUCUGACGCUGAUGCGCGAAAGCGUGGGUAGCAAACAGG
rnacentral:rRNA from 1 species